rnacentral:pre_miRNA from 1 species
CUUCUACUCCCUCCGUCCGAAAAUACUUGUCAUCAAAAUGGACAAAAAAGAUGUAUCUAGAACUAAAAUACAUCUAGAUAUAUUUUCUUUUAUUCAUUUUGAUGACAAGUAUUUCCGGACGGAGGGAGUAUAUU